AGGCGGCGGUGGCUGCGGCGCCGGCCGGAUUCCCGCAGAGCCGAGGGCCGCGGGCGGAGGCGAGGCGCCGGCCCUUUGCGCCGGGACCCUGACGUCCCCGCGGCGGCCGCGGCUGCGAGGACAGCGGGGACAGCGGCUGCGCUCCGGCUGGACGCGCUGCGCACUCUGCGUGUUGAAGGAGACACAGGGCCAGGUACUCCGGGACCAGACCCGGAUCCUCCUCCGCGACAGCCUAAGCCGGGCUUGGGACCCCCGCGCGGGUCGAAGUGGGUAACUCCACCGGGUACACGAGCGUCCGAGCUUUGCGUCCUGGCUUUCACCUCUCCCGGUUACAGCAUCCAACCCUAGAGACCACAGCCCCACAGCAUUCGUAGCUUGCUCUGUUCGUUUACCCCUUCUUCCAUAGCUCGCGUGCCUUCCAUCCGCAUCAGCAUCGCAUACACUUCUGCUUCCCAAACCCAACCAGAAAAUCCACCGAGAACUAAAGUGGAACGCGCGAGCCCGCGUGACCUGGACGCACAAACACGAGCCACAUUAUAGGCAGCGUGUCAAAGUGGCCUGAUCUGGCCAAAUGCACUCGGUCCCCUCGUCUCCGCGUGGGAAUGCAGGUGGGCAGAUUUUCCCCUCGAAAUAUGUGCACUUGUGCAGUACGGUUGUGACAUUUUCUUUAAAAGCAGAUGCAGGCAAAUGACCAGAAAUACAGCAUAUGGCAGAGACCGGGCUUGUGAAGGCAACAUCAAGCAAAAUGUGGCAGAGCUGCGCAGCUUACCUUGGGUUGGUGUCAGAGCCCCUGGGAGGCGCGGUGGAGUCCGGACAGGGCUGCCGCACCGCCGCGGAGUGGCCCGCUCCAGCUCCCAGCGAGUGGAAGCGGGACGCAUCUCUGCCCUUAUUCGUCCCUUCAGUGUGACCCUCCCACUCGGUGAGCACGGAGGACUCAGCAAGACAGUCCUCAGCCAACUCAUGCCCAGGUUUUCCUUGAUCACACAGAGCUGGGUACUAAGUCUUUCAGGUUUCUGUUUUAAUAGCAAUUUCAUAGCGGCAAUGACAGUUGGGGGCAGACGCUUUCUCACUUCUGACUAUGAAGUGUCCUCAAAGUACGGUGCGGUGCAGUGCGUGGUAUACAUUCACAGGUAGAUAAUUGGCUUUUUAACAGUCGAGC
rnacentral:lncRNA from 1 species